GCAUAUCAAUAAGCGGAGGAAAAGAAACCAACAGGGAUUGCCCUAGUAACGGCGAGUGAAGCGGCAACAGCUCAAAUUUGAAAUCUGGCUCUUUCAGGGUCCGAGUUGUAAUUUGCAGAGGGCGCUUUGGCUUUGGCAGCGGUCCAAGUUCCUUGGAACAGGACGUCACAGAGGGUGAGAAUCCCGUACGUGGUCGCUAGCUAUUGCCGUGUAAAGCCCCUUCGACGAGUCGAGUUGUUUGGGAAUGCAGCUCUAAAUGGGAGGUAAAUUUCUUCUAAAGCUAAAUACUGGCCAGAGACCGAUAGCGCACAAGUAGAGUGAUCGAAAGAUGAAAAGCACUUUGGAAAGAGAGUCAAACAGCACGUGAAAUUGUUGAAAGGGAAGCGCUUGCAGCCAGACUUGCUUGCAGUUGCUCAUCCGGGCUUUUGCCCGGUGCACUCUUCUGCAGGCAGGCCAGCAUCAGUUUGGGCGGUGGGAUAAAGGUCUCUGUCACGUACCUCUCUUCGGGGAGGCCUUAUAGGGGAGACGACAUACCACCAGCCUGGACUGAGGUCCGCGCAUUCGCUAGGAUGCUGGCGUAAUGGCUGUAAGCGGCCCGUCUUGAAACACGGACCAAGGAGUCUAACAUCUAUGCGAGUGUUUGGGUGUCAAGCCCGAACGCGUAAUGAAAGUGAACGGAGGUGGGAACCCGCAAGGGUGCACCAUCGACCGAUCCUGAUGUCUUCGGAAGGAUUUGAGUAAGAGCAUGGCUGUUGGGACCCGAAAGAUGGUGAACUAUGCUUGAAUAGGGUGAAGCCAGAGGAAACUCUGGUGGAGGCUCGCAGCGGUUCUGACGUGCAAAUCGAUCGUCAAAUUUGGGCAUAGGGGCGAAAGACUAAUCGAACUAUCUAGUAGCUGGUUCCUGCG
rnacentral:rRNA from 1 species